AUAGACGAGUAUGAAUGUGGUGCGCGUUACGGUUUACUUCGUGACUAGAUACAUACUCGUCUACG
rnacentral:pre_miRNA from 1 species